rnacentral:rRNA from 1 species
UACGUAGGGUCCAAGCGUUAAUCGGAAUUACUGGGCGUAAAGCGUGCGCAGGCGGUUGUGUAAGCCAGAUGUGAAAUCCCCGGGCUUAACCUGGGAAUGGCAUUUGGGACUGCACGGCUAGAGUACGGCAGAGGAGACUAGAAUUCCUGGUGUAGCAGUGAAAUGCGUAGAUAUCAGGAGGAAUACCGAUGGCGAAGGCAGGUCUCUGGGUCGAUACUGACGCUCAUGCACGAAAGCGUAGGGAGCAAACAGG